GUCCACGCCCUAAACGAUGUCGACUGGUUGUUGGGGGUUUGACACUCUCAGUAACGAAGCUAACGCGUGAAGUCGACCGCCUGGGGAGUACGGCCGCAAGGUUAAAACUCAAAGGAAUUGACGGGGACCCGCACAAGCGGUUGAUUAUGUGGAUUAAUUCGAUGCAACGCGAAAAACCUUACCUACCCUUGACAUGUCCGAGAGCCGGAAGAGAUUCCGGUGUGCCCGAAAGGGAAUCGGAACACAGGUGCUGCAUGGCUGUCGU
rnacentral:rRNA from 1 species